rnacentral:rRNA from 1 species
UACGUAGGGGGCAAGCGUUGUCCGGAUUUAUUGGGCGUAAAGAGCGUGUAGGCGGCCAUGUAGGUCCGUUGUGAAAGCCCGAGGCUCAACCUCGGAACUGCCUUCGAUACUGCGGGUCUCGAGUCCGGGAGAGGUGAGUGGAAUUCCUAGUGUAGAGGUGAAAUUCGUAGAUAUUAGGAAGAACACCAGUGGCGAAGGCGGCUCACUGGCCCGGUACUGACGCUGAGGCGCGAAAGCGUGGGGAGCAAACAGG